GAUGAACGCUGGCGGCGUGCCUAAUACAUGCAAGUCGAGCGAACGGACGAGAAGCUUGCUUCUCUGAUGUUAGCGGCGGACGGGUGAGUAACACGUGGAUAACCUACCUAUAAGACUGGGAUAACUUCGGGAAACCGGAGCUAAUACCGGAUAAUAUUUUGAACCGCAUGGUUCAAAAGUGAAAGACGGUCUUGCUGUCACUUAUAGAUGGAUCCGCGCUGCAUUAGCUAGUUGGUAAGGUAACGGCUUACCAAGGCAACGAUGCAUAGCCGACCUGAGAGGGUGAUCGGCCACACUGGAACUAAGCCACGGUCCAGACUCCUACGGGGAGCAGCAGUAGGGAAUCUUCCGCGAUGGGCGGAAGCCUGACGGAGCAACGCCGCGUGAGUGAUGAAGGUCUUCGGAUCGUAAAACUAUGUUAUUAGGGAAGAACAUAUGUGUAAGUAACUGUGCACAUCUUGACGGUACCUAAUCAGAAAGCCACGGCUAACUACGUG
rnacentral:rRNA from 1 species